rnacentral:rRNA from 1 species
UACGUAGGGUCCGAGCGUUGUCCGGAAUUACUGGGCGUAAAGAGCUCGUAGGUGGUUUGUCGCGUUGUUCGUGAAAACUCACAGCUCAACUGUGGGCGUGCGGGCGAUACGGGCAGACUAGAGUACUGCAGGGGAGACUGGAAUUCCUGGUGUAGCGGUGAAAUGCGCAGAUAUCAGGAGGAACACCGGUGGCGAAGGCGGGUCUCUGGGCCGAUACUGACGCUGAGGAGCGAAAGCGUGGGGAGCGAACAGG